rnacentral:rRNA from 1 species
UACGUAGGGUGCAAGCGUUGUCCGGAAUUAUUGGGCGUAAAGAGCUCGUAGGCGGUUAGUCGCGUCUGCUGUGAAAACUCGGGGCUUAACCCCGGGCCUGCAGUGGGUACGGGCUGACUAGAGUGCGGUAGGGGAGAGUGGAAUUCCUGGUGUAGCGGUGAAAUGCGCAGAUAUCAGGAGGAACACCGGUGGCGAAGGCGGGUCUCUGGGUCGUAACUGACGCUGAGGAGCGAAAGCGUGGGGAGCGAACAGG